rnacentral:rRNA from 1 species
GAGUUUGAACCUGGCUCAGGACGAACGCUGGCGGCACGCCUAACACAUGCAAGUCGAACGGAGUUUUAGAUGCUUGCAUCUGAAACUUAGUGGCGGACGGGUGAGUAACACGUGAGCAACCUGCCUUCCAGAGGGGGAUAACGUUUGGAAACGAACGCUAAUACCGCAUAACAUAUAUUUAUCACAUGGUAGAUAUAUCAAAGGAGCAAUCCGCUGGGAGAUGGGCUCGCGUCCGAUUAGAUAGUUGGCGGGGUAACGGCCCACCAAGUCAACGAUCGGUAGCCGGACUGAGAGGUUGAACGGCCACAUUGGGACUGAGACACGGCCCAGACUCCUACGGGAGGCAGCAGUGGGGGAUAUUGCACAAUGGGGGAAACCCUGAUGCAGCGAUGCCGCGUGAGUGAAGACGGCCUUCGGGUUGUAAAGCUCUGUCGCAGGGGACGAAAAUGACGGUACCCUGCAAGAAAGCUCCGGCUAACUACGUGCC